rnacentral:rRNA from 1 species
GACGAACGCUGGCGGCGUGCUUAACACAUGCAAGUCGAACGGAAAGGCCCUGCUUUUGUGGGGUGCUCGAGUGGCGAACGGGUGAGUAACACGUGAGUAACCUGCCCUUGACUUUGGGAUAACUUCAGGAAACUGGGGCUAAUACCGGAUAGGAGCUCCUGCUGAAUGGUGGGGGUUGGAAAGUUUCGGCGGUUGGGGAUGGACUCGCGGCUUAUCAGCUCGUUGGGGGGGUAGUGGCUUACCAAGGCUUUGACGGGUAGCCGGCCUGAGAGGGUGACCGGCCACAUUGGGACUGAGAUACGGCCCAGACUCCUACGGGAGGCAGCAGUGGGGAAUAUUGCACAAUGGGCGGAAGCCUGAUGCAGCAACGCCGCGUGCGGGAUGACGGCCUUCGGGUUGUAAACCGCUUUCGCCUGUGACGAAGCGUGAGUGACGGUAAUGGGUAAAGAAGCACCGGCUAACUACGUG